GCUGGGUGGGGUGGCACACACCUGUAAUCCCAGUGGCUUGGGAGGCUGAGGCAGGAGGAUUGGAGGUUCAAAGCCAGCCUCAGUAAUUUAGUGAGGCCCUAAGCAACUCAGCAAGACCCUAUCUCUA
rnacentral:sRNA from 1 species